AAAAUGGUGAAAGCUGGUGGACUCUGCAUCCUAAAAUUUGACAUUGAUUUCAGUCUUUAAGCCUAUGCAACAAGACUCUACAGUGAAAUCCUUUCAGUGUUUCAGCAGCUAGUAUUCUUUUUUGGGGAGUUUCUCAAGCAGAUGGAGUUUGGGGAUUCCUGUGAAAUUGUGAAAGCAACAGCACAGAGACUCAGCAGAGCAGAGCUAAGGGGGAAUAACAGAAAACCAGAAAAAAACAAGAUUUAGGAAAGACAUUCAUUCUUUGGAAUCAGACAACCUGGACUCAAGCCUUGAGGUCAGCUGAGAAAAUUCAGCAAACUCUUGCUCUUCCCUCAAGGCCAAAGCUAUCUCCACAAUCACCACCUUUCCAACUGUGCCAGGAGUUUCUCCCAAAAGAAACGAAGACUAAUUUUCACCAGGCCUUGCUAUGAGUUUAUAAAAUCUCAUUUCAACAACCCUAAAAACUAGGCAUGGU